rnacentral:rRNA from 1 species
UACGUAGGGUGCAAGCGUUAAUCGGAAUUACUGGGCGUAAAGAGCGCGCAGGCGGUCGUUCAAGUCGAGUGUGAAAGCCCCCGGCUCAACUGGGGAGGGUCAUUCGAUACUGAUCGACUCGAAGGCAGGAGAGGGAAGUGGAAUUCCCGGUGUAGAGGUGAAAUUCGUAGAUAUCGGGAGGAACACCAGUGGCGAAGGCGGCGAUCUGGGAAGAUACUGACGCUGAGGUGCGAAAGCGUGGGGAGCAAACAGG